GGCAGGUCGAUGGGAGGGCGCGAGGCCUCUCCGCCAACAUGGUGGCUGGGCAGCCGCCCUGUCCUGUGCCGGCCCGCUGGGGCUGAGCAGGUGCCGAUGCAUCACUGCCCCUGAUGGGUCUGUCAAUAACACCGAGCAGGGAAGGGCAGCCCUCACCAUUUAAUCGCUGGAGGCGCCGUGUGUCACUGCAUAUGUGGCAGCUUAAAAGCAGGGCCAGCUACUGCUGCCGUGGAAGUAUGAGGAGUACAAGUCAGCUGCCCCGCAGAAGAGAGCUCCCCCUGCGGAGCAUUUUGGGCCUCUCCUUCUCAAAGCAACCCUAUGUUUUUCACUGUUGGCUAUACCAAAGACGUCAAGUGGCUUCCUCGCUUCCUUGCCACCCUCAUUCCCAGGGCCAAGGAGGACUCCUGGCCUUCCCACCUAGACAUGCAGAACAGACUGAGCCAAGCAGGAGACCCUCUUGAAGAGAACCACGUGAGAUCAGUCGGAGGAUGGAAGCAAAAGUACUGCCCAGGGCUGAGCAGGAAAGGGGUAUGAGGUUCCCUAAAUGAUACCCUCACCUGAGUGGCCUUCAGUAUUUUUAAAUGCAGAUCCAGAGUAAAUCACAAACUGAGCAAUACAGAAGACUUCCUUGCUGAUGGUUUCCACUGCUGGCAGCUUGUCUCAGGUGCCCACUGCUUUUCACAGUUCUAGCUGGGUGUGAACAGCUCCUCCGCAGCACGUGCACAGGCUCUGCUCACUCUGAAUGAGACUCCAGGCAAAGCCAGCAGCGUGGGCAGGAUCAACUACUGGUCCAUUUUGGAUAUUCAUGCAAGAAAUCAAUUGCAGAAUAUUCUGAGUCACAGAAUAUCCUGAGUUGGAAGGCAUCCAUAAAGACCAUUGAGUCCAGCUCUUAAGUGAGUGGCCCAUACAGAGAUGAAACCCGCAACCAUGGCAUUACUGGCACCAUGCUGUAAUUGAGCUAAUCUCAUCGUUUUCCUAAUCAAGAACAGAGGUGUGGCCAAAAGCUCUUCUACAUGAGGACUGAGUACUGCAUCCACAAUGUUGCUGAGCAGCCUGUGGCAUUUCUGCGGGAGUACUUUUAAUCUGUCUGUAACACCUCUUCUGUACUCUUCAUUGUUGGGUUUAUGCAUUAUUGGUCAGAAUGCAUUUUGCUCCCUUCAUAUGUGGCAUAAGUAAAUUUAAUUCCAUCUGUGAUAUUUGUAUGCUGCAGCCCCACUACCUGCUAUCUCACUCUGCACUUUGACUGGCCUUGGCUCAUCCGGAGGAUAGGAAUACAGCUCUGCUGAAGUAGUUCUGAGAAUCCUUCUGGAGAGUUCUUUGGGGAGGAUCUGUUUUCCUGUUUCCAAAAUAAAUCAGCUCAGUCUGCAUCUAGGACAUUAUUUCAGCAGUAGGACACCAACACAUCUCACCAGUUCUUCCACAUCUUUUGCAAGCAGCAAUGAAAAUUAUGUUCUCUUGGUCAUGGCAGCCAUCCUACAAGUGUUGCUGUGGAGGCAUGCAGCUUGUACACCUACUGCUCGGUGACCCUGGCUCGAGAGUUCACAACUGCAUGUUUCUUGCCAUAAAGAGUUGCAGAAUGCCAUUUUACCUGGUGACAGGACAGGUAGGAACUUGAUCUGAGCUGCUAAGGAUCCAUAAUGGCAACAGAGUAGCAUGCUGUAAAUGGAAGAUGGUCAGCUAUGGAAAGCGCAAAAAAAAAACCCACUCAUGGAAAUUUGAACCACAUCUUAGCUGGGCAAGAAAGAUGACUAUUACUAUUCUCAAGAAAUGCUGAGGAAGGGGUUGAAAAGGUUAUUUAGAAAUGUACAACCCAAAUUACUUUUGCUAUACAAUUUGAAAUGGGAAUAAUGGAAAAGAGAGAGAUAGUUCACAAGUCAGCAUGCACACAGCCUACUGGUACUUUGCUACCUGUUUGUACUGGAUGCACAAACCUUGGGCUCUGUCAGGACUGUUAGAGGACCUAUUGCAGAAUUUUCUGAAUUCUUGGCCUUUCAGUUACAAAUUAGUUGAGAGGCAUAUUUUUCCACUGUAAUUUACUUUUAACUGUCAUUCACUGCACUAUUUCACUGCCAGUGUCACUCAGCUAAUAGGACAUCCCAUGAUGGGUUUUUCCACAACCGUUGCUUGUCCAAGGCUCUGCAAGUGCCUCACUUGUCCUGGCAGGGAAACCUAUCAAGGUUAACAGAACCAUCAUGUUAACCACUAUCCAAGUUAGUGACUCUUUCGCUGCCAAUUUCAGCCACCAUCUUCAGCACCAGAAUUUUUCACCAGAAAAAACUGAGGAGUACAAAUAGAAGGGUGAGAUUUUUAUCAACAUCCCUUCCUCCCACUUCCUUUAAAGAGAUUGAUUAGGGUAGAAAAAUUUGUAAGUAUGAUUGUGGAUGUUUGAAACCACAGAAAUGGGUGUAUCUGUGUUAUUAAAAGCCAGUGUCACUGUAAGGACUUGAAUCUCAGCAAGUGGUGAGCUCUGAAAUACUUCCUUCACUGCAAGGAUGAAAACAGGACAUUUGCUGUCGGGCCACAGGAGAGGGGACCUCAGAGUCCAGCUGUGAUAUCUGAAGAUGGAGACUAUGUUUGGCUGUGCUGCUGGCCCACACUAGCUCCAUCUUCCCUUCUUCCUGCAUCUGGUUUACUUUGAACACAUUUUGUUGGUAAGGUAGUGUCUGGCUAAUGACCUACAGCCUAAUAACCUGCAGGCUCCUGAAACUGAAAGGGUGGGGAGAAGAACAUCGCUGACAGGGGGGCAGAAAUGAGUAAGGAGGAGGAGGAGCAAAAGUGGCCCACAAACAGUAUCAGAUCUUGAGCCUGUGUGCAUGGGGAGCUUUGGGAGCAAUGUUGACCAUAUACUGUGAACCAACUUUCUUUUUCAACCAAGCCUAGCCCAGCACUAUUCAGUGAUGUUAUUGACAUGGUGCCUCAGAGGCGGACCCUGAAUUCUAAUUAGUUAUAAUGAUUAAUAACGUUCAGUACCCCAAAAAUGGUAUUUUAAUUUAGGAAAACAGAAUGUCAGAUUUUAUGUGUUAUAAAUUAAUCUAACUCCAAUCUACUUCUUAUGGUUGCAGUUCGCUACCAUGACAAACAUUUUUCUUUUGGGGAGCAAAGGCAUAGAGGUAGACUUUAAACUUUUAUGGCAGUCUAAACCUAGAGUAAUUCUGUUGAGUUUGAAGGAUUUACACCAUAUUGACAGUGUAAGAAAUGGGGUCAGAAUCAAGACAGUAAAGCAGUGCCAUUUAGCAUCUAUCAGAGUUGAUGAGGGCUUACAUUGAAAUAUUUAAAACCAUGGGUAUUUUAGUCAGAUAGGAAAAUGCACUUUCAGAGUCCAAUUUAACAAAGUCUAAUUUCAAAAACUGAAGUCCUGUUCUCCUAAUCUGAGUGACUUUAGAUACAUAUGGGAAUAUCAAAACAUGAUUGCCCUGAAACUCAAUCUUCUUCUUUUUAAUUAAAGAAAGAAUUCUAUCUUAGUCACCUGAGAAUCUGAAAGAUAGUCUAAGUAUUUGACACUCAGAAAAACUUUUAACAGAUAAAUUAUGAUGACAAGAGACAAAAAACUACCAUCAAUAGUAAAAGCAAAUUUAAAAUAAAAUUGAAGAUGCUCUAAUAAUUUAGAAAAAAAAGCGCUAAUCAAUCCUGAUCUUAAAAUUCUUCCUUCAAGCCAAAAAUAAAUGUGUUGCAGUAAUUAAUUUAAGUUAUAGAAAGUCAUGACUAGAUCUCAACUGCCCUGGAUUCCAGCAUCAACUGUUGUAAAUCAGCAGAGCUCAAGUGAUUUCAAUGGAGCUGCACUAAGAUAGGUUAGAUAAGAAUCUGACCCUCAAUUACUUUGUAAUUUUUUUCCUAAUCAACAAACAAAAUACAGUUUUUAUGUUAAUGUAGACUCAUAGAGUCCUAGAAUGGUUUGGGUUGGAAGAGACCCUUGAAGGUCAUCUGGUGCAAUCUCCCUGCAACGAGAAGGCAUCUUCAAUUAGGUCACCCAGAGCCCUGUACAACCUGACCUUGGAGGGAUGGGGCAUCUACAAAUCUGUUCCAGUGUUUCACCACUUUCAUCACACAAAAUGGCUUCCUUAUAUCUACUCUGAAUCUACCCACCUUGAUGUUAAAACCAUUACCCCUUGCCCUGUAGCAACAGGCCCUGCUAAAAAGUAUGUUCUAUUUCAUAUACAUCCCCUUUAAGUACAGGACGGCUACAAUAAGAUCUCCCCAGAGCCUUCUCUUCACCAGGCUGCUCUACCUCAGUUCUCUCAGUCUUUCCUCACAGGAGAGGUGUUCCAGCCCUCUAAUAAUUUUGUGGGCAGGGUCUCAUUGCAGUGGAGUAGAGAGGGAGAAUCACCUCCCUCGAUCUGCUGGACACACUUCUUUUGAUGCAGCCCAGAACAUCACUGGUUUUCUGAGUUGCAAGCACACCUUGCCAGCUCCUGUCCACCUUGUCAUCCAUGAAACAUCUGUCUUAAGCCUUUGCUGAUCUUCAGUCCUAACCUAGUGUUUCUUUUGUAUCAGAUCUCUCAGUUUCUCUGUUUUAACGGUUUUAAGAAGUAAGAAAAGUCAUUGAGAAAACACGUUAUUUAAAUAAAAUUCUGCAACAUUGACAAAAUAUGUGUCUUUUACACCACAUUCACCACUUUCUCCUGACUUUGAAGAAGAACUAGGCAAUGCUAAAGGAUUAAUCUCCUGGCAUAAUUUUUCUGGUGUCAUUCAGGCUAACAUACAUAGGAGUGCAUAUGCAGUCACAUACCCUAUAUUGAUUGACAGGCUUUUGUUAGAAAAGUUUUACUAUGCACAUCCCAAUUUUCCAUUUUAAAGUGUGUUCAUCCCCAAGAAUGUUGUAUUGAAAAAAGAGAAAUUGAAUACAGCUGAGAUAAAUAGAUCACACUAAUACUAACACUCCUCUGAUCCCUGCAGGCAAAAGCUGAAAAAGCAUUUCAGGCUCUGGGCUGAUGCUGUGAGUGUUGUGCACAGACUUGUGCUUCCGAGGUGCAAUGACUGGUGCAGACCAUAGUUCCUCAAGUGGUCCUUCAGUGCCAGGACUGGAGUUCUGGGCAGUGCUGGCAAAACUGCUUCCACAGCCAAACAGUGAACAAGGUGGGGGAUGAAAGAUCUGCUUUUCCCACUAGAUGAACAAACUGCUGUACAUGGCCACAUAAACACCUGGCUAAGCAAAGCAUUGCAAUGACGUGGAGCUGGAAAUGAGUAGUCGAGGGGCUGGAGGGUCAAGAGCUACCUAAGGCCAUCUAAAUAACACCAAAUUUGUCACCAAAUAAGAAGCCACACAAUCUGCUACACAAUCUGCCACACCAUACCACACUAAACUUUCAAGAGCCGUUCCACAGCCUGAAUUACAGACGAGAAGCAAACAGGAAGCACAGACAAAUGGUGGAGCUCUGGCAUCCUAUGCCAAACCAAUUAAGCAGUCAGACCCAUCGGUAAAAUUGUCUGGAAAGAAAACAGCUUUGUGCCCUUCCUGAGUACAGCACAAAGAGAACUGGGAAUACUGCAUGGCUGGAAGGAAACCCAAGCCAACCAGCAAAUUGCAGUGUUGGUGGCUACACUGAGUUCUGUUCCCUCAGUGCCCUUGGUUUUACAGGUGUAGAGGUCCCCAGAUCACUUCCUAAUAACUUUUCACAGAAUGCAAUGAAAAUGAAUCUCAUGUCAUUUUUCUUUCAUUGACAGUGAAGCUUUUAAAACUUGGGCAUACAGAUAUGCAAUCCUAUUUUGUUCUGUAUUCUUUUCUAUUUGCAGGUGUGGUUUAUGGUCAUAGCAAUGGUAGGAGAAGGACAGAAUGCCCCUUAUACUUUAACCAUCAGGUUGCCAUUGUGAACAUUCAAUAGCAUUCUGCCUGCUUCAAAAUAAAAAGCACCAGCAAAUAUUUAAUGCUAUACAAAAAUUAGAAAAGUCUGGAAUUGUCUCUCAUUUGUGAACCUUAAUCAUAUCAACCUGUUCACAUACAUGAGUGUAUCAAAUGCCAAAAGCCUGCUGGGAACUCAUCCCUUUGCCAGCUGGUAUGCACUGUAUUUGAUCAGGACUUUUUUCGUAUGGGAAGCAAUGAAAGAGCAUCACAGCCGUUUGACAAAAAAAGAUGAAAACCAGCAAACACAACUGGAAUUUUCUGAGAACAAGCACACACACUGCGUGUUCAUUUAUUUUCCCACAAACAGGGAGAUAGACAAGAGGAUGCAGCCUGUGAAAGCCAUGCUUAUCUAGGACAAUAUCACUGGGGCAUAAUAUAUUGCUGCAGAGAAAGCACAUGUACUUCCAGUUUUCAUCAGGAAGAGAAGCUAACAGUUAGUCUGAGUACACGGAGCAAGCCACAUAGAUUGACAAGGAAUUUUGUUACCAAAUGUUCAUCACCCCUUGAAGAAAUUAUGUGCUUUGCUGCACAGUGGUAUAAUUUUUUUUCCUCACAGAAAGUGGAAAGAAAUUCAGCACAGUGGAGGAGCAGAUCAGCAAGCAAGAGGCCCAGAGUUAUGCCUACAAAUGUCCUCUGCAGCCCUUGAGAGGGAAGAGGGGAAAGGGAGCCUGCUAUUCCUGCCUGGCUCAUUAAAUGUGCUCUGAGCCAUCCUGUUGAAUGCCUUUCCUUCCUGCAGCUGAAUAAUUUUUUGACUGAAAAAAGGAGUAAAUUUUACACUAGAAACUUUCUCUUAAAAUACAACAUUGGUGAAAGACAA